rnacentral:rRNA from 1 species
AGAGAGAGACAUGCGCGCAUAUCAAUAAGCGGAGGAAAAGAAACUAACAAGGAUUCCCUUAGUAACGGCGAGUGAAGCGGGAAGAGCUCAAAUUUGAAAUCUUCAAGGUUUUACCUUGACGAAUUGUAGUUUAAAGAAGUGUUUUCUGUUAGGAGUUAGGUAAAAGUUCUUUGGAAUAGGACAUCAUAGAGGGUGAGAAUCCCGUAUUUGACUAUUCUUUCUAGCUUUGUGAUACACUUUCAAAGAGUCGGAUUGUUUGGGAAUGCAGUCCAAAAUGGGUGGUAAAUUUCAUCUAAAGCUAAAUAUUGGCGAGAGACCGAUAGCGAACAAGUACCGUGAGGGAAAGAUGAAAAGAACUUUGAAAAGAGAGUUAAACAGUACGUGAAAUUGUCAAAAGGGAAGCGUUUGACACCAGUGUUGUUUUUCCGAAAAUCAAUUAAAAAGAUGGAUUCAUGCUAGGUAGUAUUGACAUUCAUCAGCUUUCUGCACUUAUUUUUGGUUCUUUUUUAAUGCACUUUUCGUUUAACAAGUCAACAUCAAUUUCUUUUGUUGUAAAAGGGUAAUAGGAAGGUGGCUUUCUCUUCGGCGCAAGUGUUUAUAGCCUUUAGAGCCUCUGCAAUCGGAGAGAUUGAGGUCUGCAGCGUAGAUCCUUCGGGGCUAGAUAGCAUUUGUGCUAAGUUAUAGCUUUUCAUAGACAACUUGUUGACUAUGUUUAGUCUUGUAGCUUACUCGCUUACUGCUAUUUUACCUACGCUUAGGAUGUUGACAGCAGUAUAGACUGU